rnacentral:rRNA from 1 species
GAAUGAACCGGCGAGUUACGAUUUGAUGCAAGGUUAAGCAGUAAAUGUGGAGCCGUAGCGAAAGCGAGUCUGAAUAGGGCGUUUAGUAUUUGGUCGUAGACCCGAAACCAGGUGAUCUACCCUUGGUCAGGUUGAAGUUCAGGUAACACUGAAUGGAGGACCGAACCGACUUACGUUGAAAAGUGAGCGGAUGAACUGAGGGUAGCGGAGAAAUUCCAAUCGAACCUGGAGAUAGCUGGUUCUCUCCGAAAUAGCUUUAGGGCUAGCCUCAAGUGAUGAUUAUUGGAGGUAGAGCACUGUUUGGACGAGGGGCCCCUCUCGGGUUACCGAAUUCAGACAAACUCCGAAUGCCAAUUAAUUUAACUUGGGAGUCAGAACAUGGGUGAUAAGGUCCGUGUUCGAAAGGGAAACAGCCCAGACCACCAGCUAAGGUCCCAAAAUAUAUGUUAAGUGGAAAAGGAUGUGGCGUUGCCCAGACAACUAGGAUGUUGGCUUAGAAGCAGCCAUCAUUUAAAGAGUGCGUAAUAGCUCACUAGUCGAGUGACACUGCGCCGAAAAUGUACCGGGGCUAAACAUAUUACCGAAGCUGUGGAUUGUCCUUUGGACAAUGGUAGGAGAGCGUUCUAAGGGCGUUGAAGCAUGAUCGUAAGGACAUGUGGAGCGCUUAGAAGUGAGAAUGCCGGUGUGAGUAGCGAAAGACGGGUGAGAAUCCCGUCCACCGAUUGACUAAGGUUUCCAGAGGAAGGCUCGUCCGCUCUGGGUUAGUCGGGUCCUAAGCUGAGGCCGACAGGCGUAGGCGAUGGAUAACAGGUUGAUAUUCCUGUACCACCUAUAAUCGUUUUAAUCGAUGGGGGGACGCAGUAGGAUAGGCGAAGCGUGCGAUUGGAUUGCACGUCUAAGCAGUAAGGCUGAGUAUUAGGCAAAUCCGGUACUCGUUAAGGCUGAGCUGUGAUGGGGAGAAGACAUUGAGUCUUCGAGUCGUUGAUUUCACACUGCCGAGAAAAGCCUCUAGAUAGAAAAUAGGUGCCCGUACCGCAAACCGACACAGGUAGUCAAGAUGAGAAUUCUAAGGUGAGCGAGCGAACUCUCGUUAAGGAACUCGGCAAAAUGACCCCGUAACUUCGGGAGAAGGGGUGCUCUUUAGGGUUAACGCCCAGAAGAGCCGCAGUGAAUAGGCCCAAGCGACUGUUUAUCAAAAACACAGGUCUCUGCUAAACCGUAAGGUGAUGUAUAGGGGCUGACGCCUGCCCGGUGCUGGAAGGUUAAGAGGAGUGGUUAGCUUCUGCGAAGCUACGAAUCGAAGCCCCAGUAAACGGCGGCCGUAACUAUAACGGUCCUAAGGUAGCGAAAUUCCUUGUCGGGUAAGUUCCGACCCGCACGAAAGGCGUAACGAUUUGGGCACUGUCUCAACGAGAGACUCGGUGAAAUCAUAGUACCUGUGAAGAUGCAGGUUACCCGCGACAGGACGGAAAGACCCCGUGGAGCUUUACUGUAGCCUGAUAUUGAAAUUCGGCACAGCUUGUACAGGAUAGGUAGGAGCCUUUGAAACGUGAGCGCUAGCUUACGUGGAGGCGCUGGUGGGAUACUACCCUAGCUGUGUUGGCUUUCUAACCCGCACCACUUAUCGUGGUGGGAGACAGUGUCAGGCGGGCAGUUUGACUGGGGCGGUCGCCUCCUAAAAGGUAACGGAGGCGCUCAAAGGUUCCCUCAGAAUGGUUGGAAAUCAUUCAUAGAGUGUAAAGGCAUAAGGGAGCUUGACUGCGAGACCUACAAGUCGAGCAGGGUCGAAAGACGGACUUAGUGAUCCGGUGGUUCCGCAUGGAAGGGCCAUCGCUCAACGGAUAAAAGCUACCCCGGGGAUAACAGGCUUAUCUCCCCCAAGAGUUCACAUCGACGGGGAGGUUUGGCACCUCGAUGUCGGCUCAUCGCAUCCUGGGGCUGUAGUCGGUCCCAAGGGUUGGGCUGUUCGCCCAUUAAAGCGGUACGCGAGCUGGGUUCAGAACGUCGUGAGACAGUUCGGUCCCUAUCCGUCGUGGGCGUAGGAAAUUUGAGAGGAGCUGUCCUUAGUACGAGAGGACCGGGAUGGACAUACCUCUGGUGUACCAGUUGUCGUGCCAACGGCAUAGCUGGGUAGCUAUGUGUGGACGGGAUAAGUGCUGAAAGCAUCUAAGCAUGAAGCCCCCCUCAAGAUGAGAUUUCCCAACUUCGGUUAUAAGAUCCCUCAAAGAUGAUGAGGUUAAUAGGUUCGAGGUGGAAGCAUGGUGACAUGUGGAGCUGACGAAUACUAAUCGAUCGAAGACUUAAUCAA